rnacentral:rRNA from 2 species
AUCUGGGCGGCGGAAUUCAGGAUGGCUGGGCGGGCUUCGCGCUCGUUCGGCCGUUUGAACUUUCCGUCGCCGUUGCAGACGUCGCGACCUGUUCGUUGUCGGUCCUUGCUCGGAGGAACCGCGAUCGAGUUCGUUGCGGGGCGUGUUUCGGCGCGUCUCGCGGCGAAGACGCGACUCUCUGGCCGACGACGGACAGUAAGCAACGGUGGCCGGCGCGGUGUCUCGCACUCCGCGUCCGGUGCCGGUCAGCGACGAUUUCUUCGGGCCUCUUUCCGACCCGUCUUGAAACACGGACCAAGGAGUCUAACAUGCGCGCGAGUCGCGGGGUUUCGAGCGUGCCACGGUGCGCUCGUUACUUCCGAAACCCGUACGUUGAAGGCGUAAUGAAAGUGAACAGGGAAGAUGGCGUUCCGAGUCCACGAACCGUGAUCGAGUAUCGCGGCCGGACGCCCGCACUCCCGGGGCGUCUCAAUGGCUCGUCGCGGAUGCGGACGGUCGUUCUUCGGGGCGGCCGUCGGUCUGCGACGGACCGA